rnacentral:rRNA from 1 species
AACGAACGCUGGCGGCAUGCCUAACACAUGCAAGUCGAACGAGACCUUCGGGCCUAGUGGCGCACGGGUGCGUAACGCGUGGGAACCUGCCCUUAGGUUAGGAAUAACUCCCUGAAAGGGGUGCUAAUACAGGUUAAUGUAUUCGGACAAAAGAUUUAUCGCCUUUGGAUGGGCCCGCGUUGGAUUAGCUAGUUGGUAGGGUACAAGCCUACCAAGGCGACGAUCCAUGGCUGGUCUGAGAGGAUGAUCAGCCACACUUGGACUGAGACACGGCCCAGACUCCUACGGGAGGCAGCAGUGGGGAAUAUUGGACGAGGGGCGAAAGCCUAGUCCAGCAAUGCCGCGUGAGUGAUGAAGGCCUUAGGGUUGUAAAGCUCUUUUACCCGGGAUGAUAAUGACAGUAGCGGGAGAAUAAGCGCCGGCUAACUCCGUG